GAAAGGACAUCCUCAUCUCACAUUUGAUUUUUUUCACCUUUCAGUUCUCUCCAUCUCUCAGCUGUCCCUGCACAAUAAUUGGGAUUCUUUUCUCCAGUUGACGACAAUCGAGGGAGCUCCCAAAUGAGCUGUGAAAAUAAAAACAAUCCCAUAACUCGAAUAAUGACCACCACUUUGGUGGUGACACAGCACAUUUUGAGAGAAGACAGAGGGAAGGAAGGGAAUUACCUCUUGUAUGGAUCCACGGAAUCUGCGGUUACAGAAGAAACAGAAUAUAUAAAACAGAUUAGAUCCACACUAGCAAAAGUUCAGCCUCUGCUAUAUAAAAAUGAAUCUGCAAAUGGCACUCUGGAUUCUAAGCCCCGUUUGGAAUCUGAUGGAGAGACUCUAGCUGCUAACUACAAGGAUACACUGGAAAAAAUGAAAAAAGCAGAAGAAGAGCUGUCACGGUUGAACAGAGAAAAUGAAACGUUAAAGAUUAAGGUAUUCC
rnacentral:lncRNA from 1 species